CCUUCGGCCCCGCCCAGCCCCGCCGGCCGCCCGCUCCCUGGGGAACCGAGGGAGGAAUGGGCGGGGUCCUCAGGUGCCCGGCGACGUCAUCCAGCCCCCAAGGCUCCAGGACGCAAAGGGUCCCCUGAUCUGGCAGUCCCUGGACCUACCCUGGAGAGCGUGGGGGGACAAAGGCCGGACGCGCCGCCCGCUGCCGCCUCCAGGAAGCCCUCCCUUGCCAGGACAGUGGAGUUGGCCGGGUGUGGACAGCAGGAAGGGCCGGCGGGAAGGGGGGGUGGAAAGAGCCACUCCUGGUUAAUAACUCUGCGGGGUUAACCUAGGGCCGGCCAUACUCAAGUACGGACUUGAGUAAAAUUCAGCAGGAAAAGGAGCAGGGUGGGCGCCGCUAGAGGGAGGCUUCAGGACUGAGGGUCAGAGGCCCAAGGCCUGGCAGGGCCCUUCCCUGGUCAGCUCCAGGCUUGGCCUGAUGCCCGGUGGGCCACGGGCCUCUUCCAGCCUCAGGCUGACCCCAGAGAAAGAGGACAGCCCACAAGCCCGGGAGGCCGGCUUGCUGCCUGGUCAUUGCUGCAGAGCCUGGAGGGGGCCUGCGCUCAGUCCCCGCUGACCGUCCCCUCCCUUGACCCUGCCAUAGCCAUCUGUGUAACCCAGGGGAAAUUAUUCCAAAGGGACUUCCACUUCUGAUAAUCUAUGAUUCUAUUUUCUAAAAAACAAAACUCUAAAAUGCUUAAUGUCAAACAUCUGUCAUCAGCUGAACAGGAAAAGGAACAGUCCUUCCAAAGUGCCUACGGAAAGCUUUGUCCCAUCCUUGAAAAAUUGCUAAUGGGUUUGGAGAUACGAGGUGGAGAUGACUAGCAAUCAAACUCAAAGGUGGAAGUCACAUCGAGGCAGAUGAGCAGAUGAGGGGACCUAGAGAAGAAGAGAGGUGCAAGGAGAGCCCAGCCAGCAGGAACAUCUGCCCCAGUAGGCAGCACUGCCCCACAUCAGAGUCGAGGAAAGCAAAGCUCGGAUUGGAUAAAAGAAACUUGCAAACACGGUCAGUGCUUACUGCAUGUGGGCUCAGAGCACGUUACCCUCCUUCCCUGCAUGUUCCUGUGAAACGGGUUUACUGCUCUAACUCUCAGGGACACUGUGAAGACCAAACGAGAAAAUAGAAACAAACAUAAUUUAUAAACCAUAAAGUACUGACACCAAAAGAGGGGCGAGCACAGCAUUGUGAAUGUGCUGGUACUAAAUGGUUUGUUUUAAGAUGAUUUUAUGGUGUGUGAAUUUCACUUGAAUAAAUUUUUUUAAUGGAGUUCAUGGGGACGCUGCAGGAUGUCAAUUAACUUUGGACAUUUUAGCAGCGCUUUAGGUGUUAAAAUUAUUUUUUAAAAAAUACAGGAUGAAGGGAAAAGCUUCAUGACAUUGGAUUUGGCAGUGAUUCCUUGGAUAUGACCCCAAAAGCACAGAUAACGAAAGAAAAAAUAGUUAAAUUGUCUUCAUCAAAAUUAAAACUUUUGUACAUCAAAGAACUCUUUCAAAAGAGUGAAAAAGUCACAGAAUAAGAGAAAAUCAUAUACCUGAUAAAGAAUUAAUAUUCAGAGCCAGAUGCAGUGGCUCAUGCCUGUAAUCCCAGCACUUUGGGAGGCCAAGGCAGGCAGAUCACUUGAGAUCAGGAGUUCGAGACAAGCCUGGCUAAAAUGGUGAAACCCCAGCUCUACUAAAAAUACAAAAAUUAGCCAGGCGUGGUGGCGUGCACCUGGAAUCCCAGCUAUUCGGGAGGCUGAGGCAGGAGAAUCGCUUGAACUCAGAAGGCAGAGGUUGCAGUGAGCCAAGAUCACACCACUGCACUCCAGCCUGGGCGACAAAGUGAGACUCCAUCUCAAAAAAACAAAACAAAACAAAACAAAACAAAGAGUUACUAUUCAGAAUAUAUUAAGAAUUCCUACAACUCAACAACAAAAAAAAAUCCAACCCAAUUAAAAAAUGGGCAACAGACCCAAAUAGACAUUUCUUAGAAGACACACAAAUGGCCAAUAAGCUCAUGAAAACAUGUUUAACAUCACUAAUCAUUAGGGAAAUGCAAAUCAAAGCUAAAAUGAGAUACCACGUCACACUCAUUAGGUGUUAUUUUUUAAAAAUAACACAACAACAAAAAAUAAGAAAUGUGGGCGAGGAUGUGAAGAAAUUGAAACCCUUGUGGACUGUUGUUGGGGAUGUAAAAUGGCGCAGCUGCUGGGGAAAACAGUAUGGGAGUUCCUCACAAAACUAAACAGAAUUGCCAAACGACCCAGCGAUCCUGCCUCUGACAUAUACUGGAAAGAACUGAAAUAAGGCGCUGGAACAGACACUUGUAACCCAUGUUCACAGCUGAGCCAAAAGGUGGGAGUAACCCAAAUGUCCAUCAGUGGAUGAAUACUGGCAAUAAAAGCUGUGUCUGGAGGCCACUCCGUUUCACACAGCUCUCCACACGGGUGAGGGCACAGCCUUCUCGUCUCUUUCCUAUGCUGCAUCUUCAGAGCUAGCUAUGAUAUGAUAUGAUGUGAUAUGUACAUAUCGAAUAUACAUGUUUUACAUGCA
rnacentral:lncRNA from 1 species